rnacentral:rRNA from 1 species
UACGUAGGGUGCAAGCGUUGUCCGGAAUUAUUGGGCGUAAAGAGCUCGUAGGCGGUCUGUCGCGUCUGCUGUGAAAAUCCAGGGCUCAACCCUGGACCUGCAGUGGAUACGGGCAGACUAGAGUGCGGUAGGGGAGAUCGGAAUUCCUGGUGUAGCGGUGAAAUGCGCAGAUAUCAGGAGGAACACCGGUGGCGAAGGCGGGUCUCUGGGCCGUAACUGACGCUGAGGAGCGAAAGCGUGGGGAGCGAACAGG